rnacentral:lncRNA from 1 species
GCCCUUUUGUACAUGUACACCAAUUAUUCCUGCAUUUUGUGCUGCAGAAUAUUGGUUAUCAUCCUGUCUUUAAAUUUGCAAAUCCUCAUGGGUUUGAAACCUCACUGUAAACAGGUGAGAAAACAGGUGAAAACAAGAAUGUGUCCAUAGUACACGGAUGCCCCACUCCCACUAUCAUUUUCUAUGUUCAGUGGACCGUGAA